rnacentral:rRNA from 1 species
UACGUAGGGUGCGAGCGUUAAUCGGAAUUACUGGGCGUAAAGCGUGCGCAGGCGGUUUUGCAAGUCAGAUGUGAAAGCCCCGGGCUCAACCUGGGAAUGGCGUUUGAAACUGCAAGGCUAGAGUGUGUCAGAGGGGGGUAGAAUUCCACGUGUAGCAGUGAAAUGCGUAGAGAUGUGGAGGAAUACCGAUGGCGAAGGCAGCCCCCUGGGAUAACACUGACGCUCAUGCACGAAAGCGUGGGGAGCAAACAGGAUUAGAUACCCCGGUAGUCC